rnacentral:rRNA from 1 species
GCGUUGAAAAGCUCGGGGAUGACUUGUGGGUAGCGGUGAAAUUCCAAUCGAGCCCGGAGAUAGCUGGUUCUCCCCGAAAUAGCUUUAGUGCUAGCCUCAAGGUGAGAGAUACGGAGGUAGAGCACUGAAUGUCCUAGGGGGUAUUGCACCUACCGAAGACUAUCAAACUCCGAAUGCCGUCAUCUUAUACUUGGGAGUCAGACUGUGGGUGAUAAG